AUUGAACGCUGGCGGCAGGCCUAACACAUGCAAGUCGAACGAGUGGCGGACGGGUGAGUAAUGUCUGGGAAACUGCCUGAUGGAGGGGGAUAACUACUGGAAACGGUAGCUAAUACCGCAUACCAUCGGAUGUGCCCAGAUGGGAUUAGCGAGUAGGUGGGGUAACGGCUCACCUAGGCGACGAUCCCUAGCUGGUCUGAGAGGAUGACCAGCAACACUGGAACUGAGACACGGUCCAGACUCCUACGGGAGGCAGAAGUGGGGAGUAUUGCACAAUGGGCGCAAGCCUGAUGCAGCCAUGCCGCGUGUAUGAAGAAGGCAGUCGGGUUGUAAAGUGCUUUCAGCGGGGAGGCGUUACCCGCAGAAGAAGCACCGGCGAACUCCGUGCCAGCAGCCGCGGUAAUUC
rnacentral:rRNA from 1 species